rnacentral:rRNA from 1 species
CCUACGGGAGACAGCAGUGGGGGAUAUUGCACAAUGGGGGAAACCCUGAUGCAGCGACGCCGCGUGGGUGAAGAAGCGCCUCGGCGCGUAAAGCCCUGUCAGCAGGGAAGAAAAUGACGGUACCUGAAGAAGAAGCCCCGGCUAACUACGUGCCAGCAGCCGCGGUAAUACGUAGGGGGCAAGCGGUAUCCGGAUUUACUGGGUGUAAAGGGGGCGCAGACGGCGAUGCAAGCCAGGAGUGAAAGCCCGGGGCCCAACCCCGGGACUGCUCUUGGAACUGCGUGGCUAGAGUGCAGGAGGGGCAGGCGGAAUUCCUGGUGUAGCGGUGAAAUGCGUAGAUAUCAGGAGGAACACCGGUGGCGAAGGCGGCCUGCUGGACUGCAACUGACGUUGAGGCCCGAAAGCGUGGGGAGCAAACAGGAUUAGAUACCCCAGUAGUC